AUGGUGUCAGAGCAAGGAAUGAGACGACUAUUUGGAUGUCUUCAAAAUGUCCAGUGGUGUGAUCCUCUGCCACGGCAGCUGUGGGAGGUUUUCCUUCUCAGUGAAGAGCAGAUGGACUACAGGAGAUUACUCGACCUUGAUGGAAAUCAGCUGCACCUUCCAGUUGAGGGUAAACGACGGCUGUUUGAAAGAGCAGUAAAAGUCAUGCAGAAGAGCUCUACUCAGGUUAAUGUCUGCCUCCACUGGGAUAGGGCAACUCCUGCCUGCCAAAGUCUGCAUGAAUCCCUCUUAGAGGCUUUACCACACAUCAGCUCACUCAGCUUCAGAAUGACCAACAGAGGUCCAGGAUUACAGGACCAGGAGCAAUGCCAUGGGACACCGGAGAGGGAAGAAAAGCAGCUGUUACUGGAUUUGUGCCUGAAAGCAGCAGCACUAUACAAAAGGGAGAGCUUUCACAAUGUAGUCAGUACGCUCCUUUCGUUGUUUUCUGUUAACACCGACUUAAAUAACAUCCUUCUUGAUUUUUAUCAACAUGUCAAGAGUAAAGGGUGUUCAAGUGUUAUUCCAAAACUGAGGUCACUUUUCCAGUCACCUCCCUCAGUCUGGUCCAUAAACCUCUCAGAGAGAAAGACCUCCAUCCUCCUGGAAGUGCUGAAACUCCAAUCAGAGAAGAAACAAGUGAAGCUGACAGGCUGCUCACAUGAAGAGAGUGAAGUGAGGAGUUUCCUACAGUGUCUGCCUUAUAUCUCACAGCUCAGUUUCGUGCCUCAGUCAUCAGAACCUUCAGAGGAAACCAAGUUCUUUGGGAAUCUGUUGUGUGCAGCAGCAGAGAGAGAACAGCAGACAGGAGAGAAGAUACUGGAGCU
rnacentral:lncRNA from 15 species